rnacentral:miRNA from 1 species
GGGAUCUUGUUAAAAUGCAGAUAUUGAUUCAGUAGGUCUGAGGUGGGCCAUAAGAUUUUGCAUUUCUAACAAGUUC